CUUCCCUGCCUGCGUCCCUGGGGGCAGCUCUGACAGUACCCCAAAGGGCAAGGGCCUCCGGGUGGUGACCUUUGGGGCAGGGCAGGGCAUGAGAGGCCAGAGGGACCGGAGCCCCUGGACUUUGCUAGGCCUGGUAAACAGCUGCCGAGAGCUUCAGUGAGCGCAGAACGGAAGUGCCCUGGAAGUCCUGGGUCCAGAAGUUGGCAGCAAAGCAUUACUUUGGCAAGGAGCACAUCUGGGCUGGUGUUCCGUGGGUCCAGAGAGCAUCCCAAUUUCCCUUUGAGGAGCCACUCUCUCCCCUUUCUCAAGCGACCUCGCCCUUCCGCUCCAGAGGGAGACCGGUCAGUCAGACCUGGCCAGCCAGCGUACUCCAUCCCGGCCGCCAUGGUGGUCCAAGCUGUCCAUGAGAGCCAGCCCUGGGGCUUGGGCAGGGACUGCUGAGAAGAGAAUUCCUCUAUUUGCCGCGCUUGUUGAGCUGGUCAGGUGUCAACUCGGAGCUGCUGGCGGCCAACUUGCCUGCCAACAGAGGGAAAACAGAGCCUAAAGAUGAUUUUCAAAGUGGCAUUUCAAAUUAGUGAGGACAGAAUGAGUUAUUCACUAAAAGGGACAAUUGGCUACACGUUUAGGGGAAAAUUAAGUCAGAUCUCUUCCUCAUAUCACAAACAGAAAUAGAUUCCAGUCGGAUGAAAGAAAAAAGGAUUAAAAUGUGAAGGUAGUGGAAGAAAAUGCAGGUUACUACUUAUUCAUAAAUUUGGGAAUGGGCAAAAUCUUCCUUAGCAUGACAUGAAAUCCAGAAGCCACAAAAAAACUAUUUGCAGAUUGGCUGCGUAAAAAUAGAAAACCAGGGGCCGGCCCUGUGGCAUGUUGUGGUUAAGUUCACAUGCUCCGCUUCGGUGGCUCGGGGUUUGUGGGUUCAGAUCCCGGGCACAGACCUAUGCACCGGUCAUCUAGCCACGCUCUGGUGGCAUCUCACAUACAAAAUAGGGGAAGAUUGGCAUAGAUGUUAGCUCGGUGACAAUCUUCCUCAAGCAAAAAGAGGAAGAUUGGCAACAGAUGUUAACUCAGGGCCAAUCUUCCUCACCAAAAAAAGAAAAAAAAAAA
rnacentral:lncRNA from 1 species